GAUGAAGAACGCAGUGAACGUGCGAAACGUAAUGUGAAUUGCAGAAUUCAGUGAAUCAUCGAGUCUUUGAACGCACAUUGCGCCCCCUGGUAUUCCGGGGGGCAUGCCUGUCCGAGCGUCAUUGCUGCCCUCAAGCACGGCUUGUGUGUUGGGCCUCCGUCCUCCUCCCGGGGGACGGGCCCGAAAGGCAGCGGCGGCACCGCGUCCGGUCCUCGAGCGUAUGGGGCUUCGUCACCCGCUCUUGUAGGCCCGGCCGGCGCUUGCCGACACAUCAAUCUUUUUUCCAGGUUGACCUCGGAUCAGGUAGGGAUACCCGCUGAACUUAAGCAUAUCAAUAAGCGGAGGA
rnacentral:misc_RNA from 1 species